rnacentral:misc_RNA from 1 species
CUACGGAGUACACUUAGUUAUGGAAACCAUAUUCGUAUUCAGUUUUGAGAGAUCUAUCUCUCUAAUUUGUUCUUUGAAAACUGAAUAUCGACAUUGAAAAUUAUUAAUUAAUAUUUCAAAGUUUAGAUCAACCUAUAGAAUAUAUCAAAUUAAAGACAACAAUAGGUCAUACAUAAUAAUAAAAC